CCCCGGUCCCCGCCGCAGCCGCUGCAUCCUCCGUGCCCGGCCUGAGCUGGAGUCCCCCGCGCCCCCCGCGUUCCGCCCGGCCAUGGCUGCGGUGGCGUUGAUGCCACCGCCGCCGCUGCUGCUGCUGCUGCUGUUGGCGUCGCCGCCCGCCGCCUCCGUGCCGUCCGCCCGCGAUCCCUUCGCCCCCCAGCUCGGGGACACGCAGAACUGCCAGCUGCGGUGCCGCGACCGCGACCUCGGCCCGCGGCCCUCGCAGGCGGGGCUGGAGGGCGCCUCCGAGUCUCCCUAUGACAGAGCCGUUCUGAUCAGCGCUUGCGAGCGUGGCUGCCGCCUCUUCUCCAUCUGCCGAUUUGUGGCCAGAAGCUCCAAGCCCAAUGCCACCCAAACUGAGUGUGAAGCAGCCUGCGUGGAAGCCUAUGUGAAGGAGGCAGAGCAGCAGGCCUGUAGCCAUGGCUGCUGGAGCCAGCCCACGGAGCCUGAGCCGGAGCAGAAGAGAAAGGUCCUGGAGGCUCCAAGUGGGGCCCUCUCCCUCUUGGACUUGUUUUCCACCCUCUGCAAUGACCUCGUCAACUCAGCCCAGGGAUUUGUCUCCUCCACCUGGACAUACUACUUGCAGACUGACAAUGGGAAGGUGGUGGUGUUUCAGACUCAGCCCAUAGUGGAGAGCCUCGGCUUCCAGGGGGACCGUCUGCAGCGCGUGGAGGUGACCUGGCGAGGCUCCCACCCUGAAGCUCUGGAGGUGCACGUGGACCCUGUAGGCCCCCUGGACAAGGUGAGGAAGGCCAAGAUCCGAGUCAAGACCAGCAGCAAGGCCAAGGUGGAGUCUGAAGAGCCACAGGACAAUGACUUCCUCAGUUGCAUGUCCCGGUGGGUGGCAGGACCUUGGGGGUGGGAGGGGGGUGGGACUGGAGGUGCGGGUCUCCCUGGUCCCGGCCUGGGCAGCUGAGUGGUGCCUGCCGGGCGGGGCAGGCGCUCGGGUCUGCCUCGCUGGAUCCUGGCCUGCUGCCUCUUCCUCUCCGUGCUGGUGAUGCUGUGGCUGAGCUGCUCCACCCUGGUGACUGCGCCUGGCCAGCACCUCAAGUUCCAGCCUCUGACCCUGGAGCAGCACAAGGGCUUCAUGAUCGAGCCCGAUUGGCCCCUGUACCCGCCGCCGUCCCACGCCUGUGAGGACAGCCUACCACCCUACAAGCUGAAGCUGGACCUGACCAAGCUGUAGGCCUCCACUGGCCCCAUCACUGCCAACUGCAGGGGGCCCCUUGGGCCUCACUUGCCCUGAGCCCAGGAGUCCAAGGGCAGGGUGGGUCCAGCCUUGAGCCCCUCCACCCUCAAAUCCUUCCUCUCCUCCCAGUCCCACCCCUUGCCCCACGGAGUCCUGGGGACGCAGUGCCCCAGCUGGGAAGAGGGCGGGAUCGGGCACUGGUUCCUUCUUGUCCCCGCUUUCUUGGGGCCUUGCUACUUUUUGUCUUCUAUUGUGUGGCUUUCUGAGUAUUUGAACCCCAGUCCUGUGUCACCUUCCUUUUUCCUUCUCUGUCCCCUCUCUGCGGGGGGGCGCUGAGGCUGAGGGGGAGCUGCGUCUUGCUAGGGCUUCCCCCUUCUCCCCAUCCCGGUCUCCAGAGACCCAGCUUCUGAGAGACGGGGUGUGGGCAUCUCCAUGCCCCUAUAAAGCGUGCCUGGGGCUUGUCUGG
rnacentral:sRNA from 1 species